UACGAAGGGUGCAAGCGUUACUCGGAAUUACUGGGCGUAAAGCGCGCGUAGGCGGCUUUGUAAGUUAGAGGUGAAAGCCCGGGGCUCAACCCCGGAACUGCCUUUAAGACUGCAUCGCUUGAAUCCGGGAGAGGUGAGUGGAAUUCCGAGUGUAGAGGUGAAAUUCGUAGAUAUUCGGAAGAACACCAGUGGCGAAGGCGGCUCACUGGACCGGCAUUGACGCUGAGGUGCGAAAGCGUGGGGAGCAAACAGG
rnacentral:rRNA from 1 species